rnacentral:rRNA from 1 species
AUAACAUCCGGAAACGGGUGCUAAUACCGCAUAGUUUUCUUGAUUGCAUGAGUUGAGAAAGGAAAGACGGCCUUUGUGCUGUCGCUUAUGGAUGGACCCGCGGCGUAUUAGUUAGUUGGUGAGGUAACGGCUCACCAAGACGAUGAUACGUAGCCGACCUGAGAGGGUGAUCGGCCACAUUGGGACUGAGACACGGCCCAAACUCCUACGGGAGGCAGCAGUAGGGAAUCUUCCGCAAUGGACGAAAGUCUGACGGAGCAACGCCGCGUGAGUGAAAGAAGGUUUUCGGAUCGUAAAACUCUGUUGUCAGAGAAGAACAAGUUGGAGAGUAACUGCUCCAGCCUUGACGGUAUCUGACCAGAAAGCCACGGCUAACUACGUGCCAGCCGCGGC